rnacentral:tRNA from 1 species
AAAUCCAAUUUUGAAAUCGUGAGGGUUCAAGUCCCUCUAUCCCCA